GCCAGUGUAGCUUAACGUAAAGCACAACACUGAAGAUGUUAAGAUGAACCCUACAAUGUUCCACAGGCA
rnacentral:tRNA from 2 species